GACGGAGGAUGCAAGCGUUAUCCGGAAUGAUUGGGCGUAAAGCGUCCGCAGGUGGCAGUUCAAGUCUGCUGUGAAAGCGCCUGGCUUAACCGGGCGAGGUCGGCGGAAACUGUUCGACUCGAGGACGGUAGAGGGGGGUGGAAUUCCCGGUGUAGUGGUGAAAUGCGUAGAGAUCGGGAGGAACACCUGUGGCGAAGGCGGCCCCCUGGGCCGGCCCUGACACUGAGACGCGAAGGCGUGGGGAGCGAACGGG
rnacentral:rRNA from 1 species